CCACAUUGUACCACUCAGGAAAGUUGUAAGUUUGAAAAAUGCUACUUGUUUUGAUAAAGAAGGAAAAUAGUCUUGAGCCAGCACAAAAAAUCCUAUUAAUAACCCUAAUCUUUCUUAUUGUGUGCAUAUAAUCAACAAAUAGACACAGUGGUGUGGUUAGGCUGGUCUCUCCAGAUCAUACAGCUAGAAAGAUUAUCACAUUGGAAAGGGAUAAUCAAAAAUAAAUGAAAAUGCUCACCAGUGUUGUAGACUUGCAGAGAUUCUUCCCUGGUGGAGCUUUCCCCUGAGGACCUGGA
rnacentral:lncRNA from 1 species